CUAAUUUCGGAAAAUCAAAGUGCGUUCAUUCCGGGCAGGCUUAUUACAGAUAACUCGAUUAUUGCCUUCGAAUGUAUCCAUCAUAUACAAUCUGUUAAGGAAAAUUCACCGGCUUUGUGUGCUUACAAGCUUGACCUUUCGAAGGCUUAUGACCGAGUUGAUUGGGACUUUCUUGAGAGGGCUCUUCUUAAAUGGGGCUUCUCCCAGUUCUGGGUCUCUCGUGUUAUGGCGUGUGUAUCAUGUGUUAAAUAUUCUGUGAAGUUCAAUGGCAAGCUACUGGAAUCUUUUACCCCGUCCCGGGGUCUCUGGCAUGGUGAUCCGUUAUCCCCCUUUCUU
rnacentral:rRNA from 1 species